GAUGAAGAACGUAGUGAAAUGCGAUACGUAAUGUGAAUUGCAGAAUUCAGUGAAUCAUCGAAUCUUUGAACGCAUAUUGCGCUCUCUGGUAUUCCGGAGAGCAUGCUUGUUUGAGUAUCAGUAAACACCUCAACUUCCAUAUCUUUUUUGAAAUGGGAGUUGGACUUGAGUGAUCCCAACGCUUUUCCUCACCGAAAAGUGGCGGGUUACUUGAAAUGCAGGUGCAGCUGGACUUUUCUCUGAGCUAUAAGCAUAUCUAUUUAGUCUGCCUAAAAAACAGAUUAUUACCUUUGCUGCAGCUAACAUAAAGGAGAUUAGUUCUUGUGCUGACUGAUGCAGGAUUCACAAAGACAGGCUUCGGCCGACUUUGUAAACUCGAUCUCAAAUCAAGUAAGACUACCCGCUGAACUUAAGCAUAUCAAUAGCGGAGGA
rnacentral:misc_RNA from 1 species